CUCAACAAAACUGCCGACACAGACUGUGGGGUUAAAACUUAAAGUACUCUACUAGAGGCUGUGAACAAGCGAUUUGGUGGCAUUCUAUCUGACCCGCAUUACUGUGUCGCCAACAUGCUCGAUGCUAGGUACAAGGAUCGCUACUUCAAUCCAGACAAGAAAAAGGAUUUACGUUAAAUGUUACAGACACAGCUGGACAAGAUGGAAACGGAUACAGUGACAGUGCGCACCGAGGAAGAGAGGCCACGGGCAGACAGAGCUGAAACUUCACUGCUUGACAUGUAUGAUGGAAUCUUGGUUGAGAUUGAACGAAUGAACAACGAAACAUCACAGCAAAAUAACUUCAACUUCUAACAUUUGGUGCCGUGACCCGGAUGAGUUGGUCUGAACAACAACAAGAAAAAAACGUAUCAACUGUGUGUUGCUCCUGAAGAAAGAGAGAAGGCUGAGCGCAACCCACUUUGGGGAGUCUACUCUUCUGAUUGAUGGCAUAAUUGCUGGGGAUUCAAGUCCUCUAUUAAAAGGUUAUGAGAAUCUACAGUCUGAAGCUGAAGCAAUAUCCCUUGAACCAAGGACUCUACCUGAAAUGAUACAAGAUCACCGGUGAAGUGUUCAUUAGAAAAGUCCUUAACCUGUGGAACGGAAGAGGAAUUCCUCACUACCGGCAGACUGCCAGAACAUCAUUUCUAAUAGUUAUCAAUGUGGGACUGAUACCAGUGUGGAAGAGCUGGUCACUUUUAAAGGACUUGGUGAAUGAUUACCUUGCCAAUAGGACGAUUGAAUAUUAUUUUCUAGUAGACAAUUUUUUGUGUGUGUGUGAGUUUCCUCCUAAUACAGGAUGUGGUGCGAUUCAUCAUUACACCUGUUGAUACAUAUUUUCUAUAACUUUGUUUUAAAUCUAUUUCUUAUUGUAACAGCAAGUACAAUAUGCCAUUUGUGUUUUAUAGAAAUGUAAGGUGUUUUAAUGUUAGUGAUUUUAUGCUUACAGCUAAUGUUUUUUAUACUGUCUAUUUUUUCUAUGUUUUCUAAAAAAUACAUUUUUAAGUAUAUUUAUUUCUAAAAUGGUCUAGAGGGGAGUAUAAGAAUAUUUGGAAGAUAAAUACACAACGCAGAGACAGAUGAUGGAAGGUUAAUACAGUACUAGAGACAGAGGACGAGAGGUCAAUAGUGUACUAACAAUCAAUGGAAAUAGUGUAUUUUCUGUAAAAAGGGAAUUAUUGAUCAAUGGGUCAGGGACAUGGGAGGAAUUCGAGCCUGAAAUAGGAUACGUGUUAUUUGGCCAUUGGCCCUGUUUUAUUGCAAGGGAUUCUAAAUGGUCAACCACAGGCUAGGGCUGGGUUAUAAACUACAUCCUGUCCCUAUGUUCUGUGGAUAGAAUCACAGGAGAGAAUCAUUGAGGGGAGAAUCACUGAGGACAGAGAAGGAAUGACCAUCUACCUCUCAGCAUAACAUCUAUGAUGUAUCCUCUUUGAAUAAACCUAUUUUUCUUCCCCUGA